rnacentral:rRNA from 1 species
AGAGUUUGAUCCUGGCUCAGGAUGAACGCUGGCGGCGUGCCUAAUACAUGCAAGUCGAACGAGGUCAGUCUUGUAGCAAUACGGGACUGGUCCUAGUGGCGAAUGGGUGAGUAACACGUAGGCGACCUGCCCCGGAGAGGGGGAUAACCCCGCGAAAGCGGGGCUAAUACCCCGUACGUUCCAGAGGGUUAGAGGCCUUUGGACGAAAGGACGCGUAAGCGUCCGCUCUGGGAGGGGCCUGCGGCCCAUCAGCUUGUUGGUGGGGUAACGGCCUACCAAGGCGACGACGGGUAGGGGGCCUGAGAGGGUGGUCCCCCACACUGGCACUGAAACACGGGCCAGACACCUACGGGUGGCAGCAGUAGGGAAUAUUGCACAAUGGGCGAAAGCCUGAUGCAGCAACGCCGCGUGCGCGAUGAAGGCCUUCGGGUUGUAAAGCGCUUUUCGGGGGGAUGAGGAAGGACAGUACCCCCGGAAUAAGUCUCGGCUAACUACGUGCCAGCAGCCGCGGUAAAACGUAGGAGGCUAGCGUUAUCCGGAUUUACUGGGCGUAAAGCGCGUGUAGGCGGCCCGGUCAGUCGGACGUGAAAUCUCCUGGCUCAACUGGGAGGGGCCGUUCGACACUACCGGGCUUGAGGGCAAGAGAGGGAGGUGGAAUUCCGGGUGUAGCGGUGAAAUGCGUAGAUAUCCGGAGGAACACCUGUGGCGAAAGCGGCCUCCUGGCUUGCCCCUGACGCUCAGACGCGAAAGCUAGGGGAGCGAACGGGAUUAGAAACCCCGGUAGUCCUAGCUGUAAACUAUGCAGACUUGGUGUUGGUGGCUUAAACUCCAUCAGUGCCGCAGCCAACGCGAUAAGUCUGCCGCCUGGGGACUACGACCGCAAGGUUAAAACUCAAAGGAAUUGACGG